CACUGUGGCUUCAGCCAAAGAGAAAAUUAGCUGAAGGUGAGCUGGCACCCUACUUGUUUAUUUUACAUUUUUUUCUAUUUUGUAGAUAUCCGGAUUUUUCAUUUCUCUCUGACUCUUAUCAAUACCUUGAAACAUUGUGAUAAACUAGUUCGUGCUCAAAUGUAAGAGACACUUUGCUUAAUCGCCAGCCUUCCCAAGGUUUAUUUAGAAGAUGAAAAUCUGAGCUAAAAGAAUCCACUUAUGGAAUGAUAGGUUCAGAUUGCUGGGUGGAGAAGUUUCAGGGGCAAGCAGAAACUUCCUGACAUUGUCUUCUCUUGCAUUCAUUAACUGGUGGGGGUCUACUUUUUUAAAAAUUCAAGUUUAGGUAUAGUUCAAGUUCUAGACAUGGUUCAAGUUUAGAUAUAGUCCAAGUUCUACGCAGUGAGAAGUUAGGCACCGGAAGUUUCUCCUCUUCUAUCUCAACAGAACUGUAUCUUGUUUUCCUUUUUUUCCUAAGCUUCCUAAGAAGUAGACAUCCUUUCAAACAGUUCUAAAUUACAUAAAAUCAUUUUGAUGAGUGCUAUGUUUUCUUUUAAAUUCCAUUGGAUUUUUAUAAAGUACAUAUUUUAAACAAACAAGAAGCUGAAUUGCCACCGGGCUUUCCAGAUUUCUUCUGUGCAUUGAGUCCUGUGAGCUGGAUGUCUUGGAAAUCAAGUGCCACACAAAUAUUUUGGGAGUGAAAGUACAAAGUAUAAAAGAUAAAUGCAGAUGGUUAUUAAAAAGCAGACAAGGGCUGGGGUUGUACCUCCGUGGUAGAAUGUUUGCCUUGCAUGUGUGAGGCACUGGGUUCAAUCCUCAGCACCAUAUAAAAAUAAAUAAAAUAGAGGUAUUGUGUCCAUCUAUAACAACAAAAAAAUGCAUGCCACAAAUUUAAAAAAAAUAGACAAAAAAAUGAAGAUGGAACAUCACUACUUGUUAAUACCUUUAAUUCUGUUUUUGAUUUAAUUUUAUGAUUCUCAAUAUUUAUUUUCAGUUUCUGCUUUAAUUAUCACACUAAGAGAAACAUUCUUGCUUUGUAGUAAUUGAUGGAGAACUCUUUCAGCACAUUGCACUCUGAUUUAUAAAAGAGCACAAGAUUAAAGUUGGGAAGAUUGUAUUAAUCUGACACUAGGUCUCCCUGUAACAUACCUGAUAUAUGGUGUGAUCACAAUAAACAUGUAAUAAAAAGUCAAGGGAGUAUAGUAUAUCCCAAUAUAACAGAAAAAAAAAAAGGACCAAAGACAGUGGUUCUGCAAAGAAUUAAAAUCACAGCACUUAUUUAUCCGAUGAGGGCUGAAGCCCUUCUGAUAGCUGGAAUAUCAUUGUACCUUGUCAUUGUUUAUUACUGGGUUGUGGGAAUAUAUUUGGUUAUCGAAGUCUGAAGAUCUGUAAGGGGUCUUCCAGUUGUGGCAUUGUAUGAUUUGGUUACUUUCUCCCCCUUCCCCUUCAAAUCUUUUAGGCAAUCUUUUUCAGACAUUUCUACCAAGUUUUCCCCAGUAUCAAUAGCUUGAAACUAUUUACAUUAAGCAGACUGAUCAAUAUUGCUAACCUUUCCCUCUCUCCUGUAUUUUUCCUUUUUUUUCUUAAAAAAUUCUUUAUGAAUUGUCAUGGUUCUGUGUUAUAUGGCUAAUUGAUUAAAAGGCAGUAAAAAUUCAGUCUCAGCAAGUACUCCACAAUCAGCCGUAUUUAUAAACACAGCUUCAUAAAAAUAGGGCAUGAUACUCUGUUGGCCACAGAAUGACUAAACACUCGAGUCCUCGGGGAAUCGCGCUCAUGUUGUGUGACGCAUCAGCACACAUGUUUUAUCUAUCAUCAGAAAAGCAUCCCAUUUAAGGCUUUUCCCAGAGGUAAUCAAGGUUAAAGUCAGAGAAAAAUCGUAUUCCCUUUAGAGGGUACAUCAAGAUGAGCAGAACAGUUUCAGAAAACUGGCCCACUGGACCAAUUCCUCUCUAUGAUAAUAUCAUUCUAACUGAAUUUGACUUUCCCGACUCACUGCCAAGGCAUUUGUUGAUUUUCUUCUUGAGAAAACCUUGACUUCUAAUAACUUUUGCAUGGGAGGCAGGAGGAUACUAUUUCCUUUAUUAUUAUAUUUGAUCUUUUUUUCAAUGGCUUGUCAUAAAGAUUAUCAUAAGAUGUACUUGGUUCAGUGGUUACAGUUUCAACAGAUUUUUAGUAAUUUUUUUAAAAUCGUUUAAUUCAAAUAUUAAAUGUCAGAGGCUGUAAAAUAUUUUUUAGUAUUUAUAGAUCAAUUCUCAGUUCGAAGCUUGCAUCUAAUAUGAGGUACUUGUCCUCUGGACAGAGAGGGUAGAACAUGUUCAUUCUGUCCAUAGUAUUGACUUAGACCUACUGUGUACAAUUCACUAAUGAUACAGUGGAGUGACUUAAUUUAGGGAACUUAACAUAUGACAGGGAAGGCAGUAACCAUUCACACAGUGUGAAAGGAAGACAGCAAGUAAGGUCUGACUUUUCCUCCCUGGAAGAGUUGGGGAGGCGAUGAAAUUUGGCUGAAUUUUACAACAUGGAUAAGAGUUUGUCUUCUGAAGGUGUACAAUAUGGAAUACGAAUUUCUGGGGCAAGGAAGAGCUGUGUAAGGGUUAAGGUUUAGAUGUGAAGUGUCCCCCAAAAACCUCAUGUGUGAGACAAUGCAGGAAGGCUUAGAAGUGAAAUGACUGAGUAUGAAAAUUUUAACCUAAUUGCUGCAUUAAUCUCUUGAUAGGGAUUAACUGAGUGGUAACCUUGCUCAGAAUGUGGUUGGAGUAGGUGGCUCACUGGGGCAUGCCUUUGGGGUAUAUAUUUUGUCCUUGCUGAAAGAAGUCUCUCUCUCUCUCUCUCUCUCUCUCUCUCUGUCUCUGUCUCUCUGCUUUCUGGUCAUUACGUCUUGAGCUGCUUUCCUCCAUCACACUCUUCCGCCAUGAUGUUCUGCCUCAUCCUGGGCCCAGAGCAAUGGUGUUGGCCAUUAUGGGCUGAGACCUCUGAAACCCUGAGCCUCCAGAUAAAUUUUUCCUCCUCUGAUGGUUCAUGAGUCCUCGGUCAUAAAGGAGUGUGAUUUAAGGAAUUACCACACAGGCUGCCUGGGAGAGAGGUGGGUGUGGGGUCAGUCAGCUAGGUAGGGUUUGGAUUGUGAAUUCUUUAGGCAAAAUGGUAGAUUCCCUGAAGGGUCUUAGGUGAUCACAUGAUGUGAUUAGAUGGGGGGGGGGCAAUUUGAUAGUUAAGAACUUUAUUAUGAGAGUUCAAAUUCUAUUUCUGCUUGUCACCUAAAUGCCUCUGUAUCCUGGGAACAACUGUGACUCAAAGGGUUAUUGUGAGAAUCCAGGGAAUUAAUACAUGUGAGAUGCUUUCAUGGUACCCAUCACAUAUGCUCAACAAAUGCUCAGUAUUUGUUAUUGUUAGCACUCUGGGUUGGACAGUGAGAAACUGGGGCAGAGAAAUGGACUGCCUUUUUACACUAAUCCAGGGGAUAAAUGAGGGUUUGAGCCAAGGCAAUAGCGAUGGGGAUGACAAAGGUGCAAAUCCUGGGAAUUUAGAAGGUAUAGCAACAGGAUCUGUUGGUUCACUCAGCAUAGAGAGGGGCAGAGAGAGGGUCUACUGUAAGCAGGGAAGGGGUCAAGGAUAGCUCCCAGGAUUCUGGCCAGGGUGCUGAGGUGGAGGUUGGUAUUGAUUCAGCAGAGAUAGAGGGUAUAGGGUGGGGAGCAGGUUUUUGAGGAACAUAGUGAGAUCAAUUAAUCUUUAAAUAUUGGUAGUAAAUCAGUGUCUGAUAUAUGGUCUGGAGCUUGGCAAGUUCUUGCUGGAAAUUUGAGCUCAUCAGUUAUAGGUGGUAAUUGAAGUCAGAAUGCUUUGAAUGGUAGGUGAUUGUAGAAAUUCACUAGAAUGACUCAAAACACAGAAGAGAGGUAUUAGCUCAGAAAAAUGAAAAGAUCCAGAGGUGGUCAGGGACCUAUCCUUAUUCUGACAUACACCGGGCUUUGCCUGCAGUACUUUUUCCUGUGGCUGGUGGUUGAUGGUUCUGUCAGCCCCAGGUUUAUGGUACGUUCAACAACUCCUCAAAGGAGAGAGAACAUAUUUGAAAUGUCUCUUUUAAACUUUUUGUUGUUGUUGUCUUUUUGGUACUGGAGAUUGAACCCCAAAUCUUGCACAUGCUAGGCAAAUCCUCUACCACUGAGCUAAAUCCCCAGCCCAAAAUAUCUCUCAUAAAAGAGGUUGGCACAAAAGGCUUUUCCAGAACAAUGGCCACCGUUAGAUCACAUGCCAAAUCAGUCUGUGGGUCAGGAGAUCACCAUUUAUUGAACAACUCAAAGAAGUUUGACUAAUCUGAUUGUAAAGUGCAUGAGAGCGAGAUUGAUAGUUGAAUGCGAAUUGGCAUUCUAUCAGGAAACGGAACAUGGUAGGUGACCAAUAAGGAUUAAGGUACCAUAGAAGUGUAUAAACUUUCCCAAAGGAACUGUGAAACAUGAGAAUUCCUAGGAUGAGUCUUGGGAACUAUGCAGACUUCAGAAUUAUUUAGAGAAAGAAUUUAAGAUUGUUUUGAAAAUGCAUCUUAACUUCUGUUUGUCUGGACAAUUGAGUAGAAUUGUUGCAUGGUACAGUGUGGUGUGGAGAAAAAAUGGAAAUAAGUCAUGGACAAACAGGGGUAUAUGGGGUAAGAGGAUCAUGGUAACUAGAAGGGAAACUUGUUAGGUCAUGUAUUAAUAAUUUUAGUAGAAGCUUGUUUUAAUUGAGCUCUUACUCCAUCCUGGGUUCUAUGUUAAGUUUUUGUUCAGUUUUCUUAGGAUGCUUUUGAGUUUUGCACUCAGGAGUGUCACCCUUUACAGAUCACGUACUCAAGUCCUCACAUUAGUAAUUGGCAGGGGACUUGGACCCCAGGUUAUCUGCCUCCAAUGUAUGUUCACCAGCUCUACAUUUUGAGGGGGCAGAAACUGGGCCAUUACUUAGGAUAUGGUAUGCUGUCUUAAUGCUCUGAACUCUGUAGACGCUUUGCUUCACCCAGCCAUAGAGUGUUUGAGUUGAUUCUCUGCUGGACUUUUUAGGCAUUCUGCUUAUUCCUUAGGAAAAUCACUGCAGUUCUUAAGGUCUAAGGUAAGGGAAAGACUAUUGACAAAAGUAAAAUGGUGGUGAGUUUCAGGAUCUCAUCAUUUUGUAUCAUGCUUUCUUUUUUAAACGUUUUGUUGUUAUUGUUAUACAUACCAGUAGAAUGUAUUUUGACAUAUUAUAUUACAUGGAGUACAACUUCCCAUUCUUCUGGUUGUACAUGAUGUGGAAUUAUAUUGGUCGUGUAUUCAUACACUCAUUCUACUAUCUUUCCUGUUCCCAUUUCUCCUCCUUUCCCUUCAUUCCCCUUUGUCUAAUCCAAAGUACUUCUAUUCUUCCCUACCCACUCCCCUCCUCUGUGAGUUAGCAUCUGCAUAUCAGAGAGUCUAUUUAGCCUUUGGUUUUAAAAUCAGCAUACUAUAGUGAUGCUGCCACAUUAAUGUUUAUAGCAGCUCAAUUAACAACAGUUAAACUAUGGAACCAGCCUAGGUGCGUUUCAACAGAUGAAUGGAUAAAGAAAAUGUGGUAUAUAUACACAAUAGAAUAUUACUUAGCCAAAAAGAGAAAUGAAAUUAUUGCAUUUGCUGGUAAAUGGAUGGAACUGGAGACUAUCAUGUUAAGUGAAAUAAGCCAAUCCCAAAAAACAAAAGGCCCAAUGUUAUCAUGUUCAGUCAGAAUAAAAACCAGAUUGCCAGAUCCCAGAAAUCAAGAGGGAGGCAUUUUUACAAGGAGAUUGUGACUUCCAAAGUUUGCCAGGCAUGUAAAAUAGAAAAACAUGAUCUGACAUGGCCAUGGCCAUGUGCCCCCAUACUAAACCCUGACACCAUUAUGAACUACCCUAAAGACAUUCUGACAGCAUUCCCCUCCACUAAAGUCCUUCUAGGACUCCAUUGGUGUCAAUUACUUCAGUUACUCCCUAUCCUGUAUGAUCGGUGUGUGGCCUGAAAAUAAUCCUGAAAUUCCUAUGUUAAUAGCAAGAACUCUAAGAAAAGGGCAGCCAUAGGCCUCUGACUGAGAUGAGUGUUUGCUUCUUUGUUUUAAUUUGUUUUCUGUUCUGUAAUUGAAUACCCAAGACCAGGUAAUUUAUGAAUUAUAGAAAUUUAUGUAGUCACAGAUGGAGUCUUGGAAGUCCAAGAGCAUGGAGCCAACAUCCCUCAAGGGUCUUCUUGCUGCAUCAUAACAUGGUGGAAGGAGACAGAGCAAGUUUGCAAGUUCGGGUCUCUUUUCCUCUUACAAGGUCACUAAUGCUAUCAUGGAGACUUAACUCUCAUGACCACAUCCUAUCACACUUCUCCAAGGCCCCACCUCCAAAUACCAUUAACUUAUUUUGGGAUUAUAAACAUUAGGGGACACAUUCAACUUAGGGGACUUGUACUAUCAUAGAGGAACUGGGCCUUACUCUGCAGGAAACUGAUACUAAUGGAGUUUAAAAAGGACCUGGAUAUAAAGCCUGGAUUCUGAUACUAGUUCCUUUCUUAGUUCUUGAAUUGGCUUGAAUUUUUCUUUUAAAAAUUUGUUGGAUCCUAAAUCAGGUGCCUUUUGGAGAGGAAGCAGAGGAGGAAAGGGGACUUCUGUGUUGGUUGGCAAAGUGGUAAGGGAGCCGGCUAUUUCUUUGAAAACAUGAACCAUUAACAAAGCCCUGUGUUGGGCGUGGAGGGUUAGGGUUAGGGAGGUGUGUGUCUGAGCGCCACAUGUCCCUGGUACACCAGGACAGUUUCUUCUGUCUGCUACAGCUCUGCAGACCUGUCUCUUUCUGUAAUGGCUCAGCGUUUUGGUCUUUUCAGUUUCUCAAGUUCUCUAUGGUCUAGACUGACGUGUCCUUUUGGGGCACAGUCAGAGAAGACACCAAAGAAAGACAAAUAAUGAAAAACUUGCUUUUUUGUUUUCCUUUCAAGCUUAACUUCACCAGAUUGUAAUUCUCCAAAUGCCAGGUUUUAGAAAAAAUAAAGAGAAUGUCUGAUGUAUUGGACCCUAGCUUGGAAAAUGAAAACUUCUUGCAGUUCAAAUAUCUCUCCUUCAGAUUUGGGGACAAAUAGAUUUCUCCAGUCCCACUGACAACUGUGUGAGGAAGAACUCUGCGAGAUGAUGGAACUCUAUUGAUUUUUCAUAAAAGUUUAAUAAGAUGAUAUAGUUCAAAAGCUUUGUAAAGUUUGCUAUAAAUUGUAGUGAGGAACCAAGCAAGAUGUAAUUAUAUAAGAAAAUGUAAAUGAAACUCGUACACGUGUAGCAGAGUUGAUGGGGAAAUAAUGAGAACAAACCUCUCUUUAGCAUCUUGGUGGUAUCUUCCAGGUAGGUACUGGAGCCUCCAGUGCAAGGAGGCCUUAUUGCCAAAGAGUUAAUACCCUCUGUUAUCUUUCUUGUUUUGGAACAUCAUGAACAUUCGUCAGGUAUAUUUUUGGGGUGCUGAUUCACUAGGACAAACAGUGUGCUCUUCACCUCACUUAAUUUUCAGGUCAUGCUUGUUUAACACCAUAUGAAAGAAUAGUGUAAAUUAUCUAGUUUUUAGUCAGCAACCGCUCAAUUUCUAGUACCUGUAUUUUAUGUGGUAUUGAUUUACUUUAAAUUUUCUAAGUGAAUGCAAAUAUAUUUCAUUUUCACUUAAGAUACUGUUUCUUUUUUAAAUGACUGCUUGGUGUCAGGAUGGUGGCACACACCUGUAAUCCCAGAGACUCGGAAGCUGAGAUAGGAGGAUUUCAAGUUCAAGGCCACCCUGGGUAACUUAGUGAAACCCUGUGUCAAAAUAAUAAAAAGGGCUGGUGAUACAGCUCAGUGUAAAGCACCCCUGGGUUCAAUUCCCCUUUACCAAAGACUGCUGUAUUUUAUUUUCAUAAUGCAUCUACAUUUAAGAUAUUUUAAAGUCUGUUUUCUUGCAACUGCCUCAAGAGUGAAACAAUCCUUGUCUCCCUUUUUUCUUCUCAUUAAAAAGUGAUGUGGCAGGGCUGUUGCUGUGGCUCAGUGGUAGAGUGCUUGCCUGGCGCGUGUGAGGCACUGGCUUUGAUCCUCGGCACCACAUAAAAAUAAAAUAAAGGUACUGUGUCCCCCAACAAUAUAUAUAUACACAUAUAUGUUAUUUAUAUAUAUGUUGUUUAUAUAUAUAAAGAUUCUAUAAAAAUAAAAAGUGAUGUGGGGGGGUUGUGGCUCAGUGGUAGAGCACUUGCCUAGCACAUGUGAGGCACUGGGUUUGAUCCUCAGCACCACAUAAAAAUAAUUAAAUGAAAUAAAGGUAUUGUGUCCAUCUACAACUUAAAAAAAGAAGCGAGGAAGCAAAUGGGGUUGUUACUCAGUGGUAGAACAUUUGCUAGUGUGGGAAGGCCUUGGCAAUCUCCAGUAUUAAAAAAAAAAAAAUUAUCCCUUUAAUGACUGUUGGGCGGUGCCUAUCAUUGAUUUAAAUUUUCUUGCUCAAGAGUGUACACCAUCCCUAAUCAGUUUGUUUAGAAUCCAUUUAACGUCAUGGCAUACCACACAAAAACUAAGGGCAUUUCUAAGGAUUGCAUUUGGGGGAAGUAUGAAAUGGUAGACUUGGUAGGGUUGAUUCCUUGUGAGUUCAUUUGCCUUAUUCCAUUUUGAUUGCCUUGUAAACUUUCUCUUGUGGGUGAAAUUUAGGCUGCACUUAGGUGGGCACUUUCAGAAUCUGUUCUCUGAUAUACAAAAAGCAACAGGUUUUCAUUCCCGCUUAUGAGAGGCAGAUUUUGGUAAGACUGAGAGGAGAAACUGAUGCAGGCAAAAACUAUUUUCAAAAAGCAAAGCCUUAUAAUUUAGGAUUCCAGUAAAUUACUAGGAAAUUGUGCAACUGCUAUUUAAUGGAAUGAACUAAUUAUAGCCCAAGAGUGGUGAGUCUCAUCCUGCGGAUAUACAAUAUAAUUCCUUUUAAAGAAGCAAUAACAUCUUGUUAAUAACAUGCCAUAUUAGUUUAUAUGCCCCAAAUUUCAAAGCCAUUUCGUUAAAGAGGGAUCUGGAAAAGAGUUAGCAUGUAGUUAGCAUCUAAACUUUGGACUUUAAAUUAUUCCUUAUUAGCUUUUUUUAAAAAAUUAUUUUGUUAUUUAUUUUUAUUUGGUGCUAAGGAUGGAACCCCGUGCUUCACACAUGCUAGGCAAGGACUCUGCCACUGAGCUACAGUCCCUGCCCUCUUCAGUAGCUCUUUUGCAGAAGGAUUCAUAUAACUAAACAUUCUGAGCCUCAAUUCUGUGGUCCACAACCUUUAUAUCUUUAUAACAGCCACUUUUAUUAAUGAUGACAGUAAUUAUAAUAGCCACCAUUUAUAGAACACUUUAUCUUUGCUAAAGGCUUUAGAUACCUUAGCAAAUUUCAUUAGUCUUGAUAAUCUUAAGACAGUAUUAUACCGUUAUUUUAUUUAAAAAAAUAGUAGAUCCAAAAGGUUAAGGUAGUUGUACCAGAUCAUCUAGAAGGCUAGAUUCAAACCAAGAGCAGCCCAAGCAGUAUUACUCAUCGUAGUCUGGGAUGAUUAACUGCCACUACUGGUUCUGAAACUCAGUUUGAUGGUGACUUUUUCUGUGUCUUGUAGCUCUCAAGAGUACUGAGUAGGGCUGGGGUUGUGGCUCAGCGGUAGAGCGCUUGCCUAGCAAGUGUGAGGCACUGGGUUCAAUCUUCAGCACCACAUAAAAUAAAUAAAUAAAUAAAAUAAAGUUAAAAAAAAGAGUACUGAAUACUUUUGGAAUAGAGGCAGGAUGCCCUUUAAGGUCUACAAGUUAUGUGUUUUGUAUGGUUGGCUAAUUAUUGGGAUGGGACUUAGCAGAUACUUUGUGCCAGUGGGUCUGCUGUGUGCUGUUCCAGGUUUUAGAAGCUGCAGAUGUCCCUAGGAUCUCUAAUCGCUCCCCAAGGGGAGGCAUAUUUAUCUAGAGGCUGGGUUUAUGUCUUAUAAGAUCCAGGAAAAUCCUUGGGGCGCAAAUUUCUGAACUCACUGAUUUAAGCUAUUCUGGUGAACUCAAAACCCUCUGGGUGGGCCUGGGGCUGGGGCUCAGUGGUAGAAUGCUCACCUAGCAGGUGCAAGGCCCUGAGUUCGAGCACCACAUAUAAAUAAAUAAAAUAAAGGUAUUGUGUCCAACUAUAACUUAAAAAAAAAUACCCUCUGGGUGCUCUUACAACCUAGACAUUGAUCCUUUUCAGGAGAUAAGAUUUCUUCCUGCUGAAUUAGGCAGGCUUUUGGGUCUUCCUGUGCUUAGGGACAGGUAGAUAUUCUUUCCCCAAGGAGAUCUCCCCUUUUUCCGGGUCAGCUCCUUAACCAUUAUGUGCAUUGGUAUCCAAGGUCACCUAUAGUUUAUUCCCUCCCUUCAGAGUGUCAUGGCCUGGUAUACUCCAGAGUGACUAAGACUGUGGAAAAGAACAUAAAGUGAGUAACCUUACUAUCAAUAAGUGUUAUGUCACUUCAGUGAUUUUCUUAGCUGAUUCUGAAGUAUUUUUCUGAAUAUUUUCAUGAUGACUUUAUUUUAUUUCUUUUUUUACAAAUCACAUAGGAUAGGCAAGAACUCUACUACUGAGAUACACUCCCAGCCUACCCUGAUAACGUUUUUGGACUAGGGAUUGAACUCAGGAGCACUUGCCAUAUCCCCAGUCCUUUUUAUAUUUUAGUUUGAGACCGGUCUUACUAAGUUGCUUAGGACCUCGCUAAAUUGCUGAAGCUGGCAAUUUGAGUUCACAAUUCUCCUGCCUCAGGCUCCUGAGCCACUGGGAUUAUAGGCAUGCACCGCCUACUCUGCUGCCCUGAUGACUUUUGACUUAGAUUCCUUUGUGUGUGUGUGUGUGUGUGUGUAUGUGUGUGAUGCUUGGGAUUGAACCCAGGGCCUUAUGCAUGUUACACAAGCACUCUACCAACUGAGCUAUAUCCCCAGCCCUUGAUUUAGAUCUUUUAAUCAUUCAUGUAUCCAUUCAUUCAGCAUCUACUACGUGCCAGUGAGGCUUUAAGCUGUGGGAACAUAGCUGUGAAUAAAACAAACAAGGUCUCCACACUCAAUGAGCUUCUAAUGAUAGCAGGGUAACAAAAUACAUCUUAAAAUUUUAUUUUAAAACAACUUUUAAAAGAUCAGAUAGUAAUGCAAGCCUUGCAGAGACAUGUCACAGGUGAUACGACAUCAAGUGCUUAGGUAGUUCAGGUAGACUGAAUGAAUGAAGGGGGAGCCUCUCUGGGCAGGCAACCCUGAGGCUGAGAUGUGAAUGACAAGCAGCAUUUAACCCCAUGAGGACUGGGGGAUGAAAUUUGAGACAGGACAGAGCAGAGCACAGUGAGACAGCACAGUGGAUGGGAACGUGGUGGCCGUGAGGAAACAGGGCUACUGCCAUCCAGCUUUUUGUGUAGAAGUAAGUUUGUGUAGGAGUAAGUCCUCACUGUUCUCUGUGAUUCUGAAAAUGUUCAGACACUCAGCAAGUUGCUCUCGUUCCACAAAGAUGCACUGAGCAAGUCUACUGGGCACUGUUAGAUACUGUGCAUAGUGAUAAGAGACAGGGAUGCAGUCCCUGUCCCCAAGGAACCCCAGUGGUGGGAGGAAGCUAGAGAAGGAAGCAGCCAGUUACAAUGUGAGGUGAUAAAUGGUCUGAUAAAGGGAAGUACAGUGGGCUGUGGGAACACAGAGGAAAAGCAUCCACCCUCCAAAAGGACUGGGCCACUAGGGGAGGCUUCCUGGAAUAAGCAAAGCCUAUUUGAGACUUGAAAUACAAAUCGUGAUUGGCCAGGCAAAGGAUGGAGAGAGGGACUAGUCCAGGUGUGUGGGAGUCACCUGAGCAAGGGACAGAAUUGGAGUGAGCAUGGGGGUGUUUGGGGAUUGCAAAGUGCAGUGUGCCCAGAGCAAACAGGACAGGAGGCUCUAUACCGUGUGCCAAUGGUGCCUAAUAGGGUAAUGUGUGACUGCAUCUAAAAUUUUCUCCCUUUUCGAGUCUCAGUCAUUUAUAAUAUGAAGGGAGAUCACUGAACAUAAAAGAAAAGAGAGAGAGAGAAGAAAAAGAAGAAGAAGGAGGAGGAGGAGGAGGAGGAGGAGGAGGAGGAGGAGGAGGAAAGAAAUUUAAAAUAUCUGUAAUUUUCACAGCAAUAUUAUUAACUCUGGGGAAAUUCUUGUAUCCAAAGGGCAAAUUUUCUCAGUUCAGAUUCCCUUCAUAAUAGACCUCAAGCUUCUGAAAGGAGAGUCUUCUCUAGCUUUUUGCUCCAUUCUGGUAUUUCUUUUGUAACACACCCCAGGUAAAGCAUGUGUCACUUGUGUUCAGUAACUGAUAGGAGACUUCUGUAAACAAGUUAUCUUGGUAACAAAGGAUAUGGUACCCGCAGGAAGGAAGGUCAAGAAGAGACUAGAGUUACUAGGGAAACGUAUAAUGCCGCCACGUCUUUUAUUUAUUUAUUUAUUUUCCUGGGGAGAUGUGUUUUGCCUCAGAGAAAUGUCACGUGGACACCACUUUGUUCCAUUUAAUGUAUGCACCAGUGCUAAAAUUUCGGAAGUCCUGAGUUCUAUUGUUUGUAUCUGCCUAGCACACACCAACCAUCAUUGGAAAGUGAAAAAGGAAAGGAAUCUGUUUAUUGUGUGUAAGGCAAAAAUGCUGCAUCCUGACCCUGACAGGAAGCUAAAUUUUCAUGUUGUUUGUGUGCAUUUGAACCCUCAGAGGGAGGGAGGAAGGGAAGGAGGGAGGAGGUGUGUGUUACAUGUGGUUGAAGGUAUGAGAUUUAUUAAAACCAAUUAAUUGUACAGACUCACUAGAUGGGUGAACUAUGGUAUUUAGUCUUCUGUUAAUCUAUGCAGCAUUAGCUGAAGAGUGAAGAGACACUUUUUGGAUAUGUCUUCUCAUGAGAAUGCAUUUUAUGAAUUUAAAAGAUGAGUGCUUUGCAAUGAGCCUUUUCUUAUAGCAUGAAAAUUCAGUUGAUGCUGAAUGGCUAUCGGAAUGGUUUGUAGUUAAAGUUAGAAGAAUUAAUGUAGCAUCUUCUUUUGAUGAGAAUGGACUUGCGUUUACUUAAACUAACUAUUAAUUUGUGAAUGGACAAAAACACAAGUUUCCUUAAGAGACUAUAAAAUAAUAUCUGUUUCUCGAUAAGAGUUUGGGUAAAGCCAUCAAUUUUUAAUUUUCUUUAAAUAAAACAGACAAAAAUUACCAAAUAAUUUGUAGUCUUUAUUUGUAUGUGUUUCAAACUAUUUUUUUUGAUACUAGAGACUGAGUCCAGAGGUGCUUUAACCACUGAGCUAUAUCUUCAGCCCUUUAAAUUAAAUUUUUUUUUUUUUACUUUGAGGCAGGCUUUAGCUAAGUUGCUGAGGGUCUUGCUAAGUUGCUGAGUCUGGCCUUGAACUUGUGAUCCUCCUGCCUCAGCUCAAACUAUUUUUUUAUGGUAGAGAAAACCACAGAUGGCAUAUAUCUCUCUAUAUUUAAAUCUAUCUAUAUAUAUCAUAGUAUUUAUUAAAAUAAUAAGGUACAAAUUCAACUUAGAAAUUUAGAAAAGCAUAAUUAUAGUAGAGGGCCAGAAAUUCUGGGAUGAAAUGCCUUAUUUUACAUACUCAUUUGAGAGACUGGCAUCAGUGCCUUCUUCCUCUUUGCAAAUAAUCAGCGUAGCCAGCUUGUCCAUAAAGUCUGGGCCCAGGCAGAUAUGCAUAAUGGAAGUAAGAGCAUCUUCAGUGUUUAGAAGGAAUCAGAUAAUAUCAUUCAUUUCUGGAUUUUAUGGACCUUUUGUAUUACACAGCCACUCUGUGAAAGGUGAGUUAGAAGAGCAGCACAUAGCAUGUUCCCAAGCUUGCUCUUCCAACCAAAGGCCGUGUCUUCACCCACUCUUCACCACUCCUCAUCCUGCCCAGAGUGUAUGCAUGUGUCCCCAAGGGGUACCUUUCUGACGUUCCUGAAGUUGAAGUUAUUGGGCAUACUGUGGAGGCAGCAAAUGAUAAUACAAAUUGCAAAUGAUAAAAGCUGAGGAAUAGUUAACUGCAAGGUUUCAGAAUUGGGAAAAUCACAGGCUUUGAGGAGUCAGGGAGGCUAAAUGGAGGCCGUGGGGCUGAGGCUGGACUUUUAAGAGAGCAGCAUUUGAGGAUGAGGUAGCCACUCUGGGGAGAGGAAAAAAACCCUCCUUUUCAGUUGUAACAGAGUGUGAUAAUGAACUCCUCCAAUGUGCUCUGGGACUUGUAGGGGCCACUUAGUGCUUCCUGUGCCCCAUUUAUAAAAUCAGGCCCCCUGUAGCUCCAUGGUUAAUUGUGGUUUAUGAACAGAGGCUCACUCCCCCCCCCCGCCCCCUUACCUUCAGGAAUAAACCAUAAAAACAUUCAGUGCAUUUUCUUCUUGAGCCCAACCUUAUCACACAUCUUUCAUUUCCGAUCUGAGGGUCUCUGUCAUUCUUCCCCUUUCCAGUGUGACUCUCGGGUCUCUUCCCAGGCCUUUUCUUUCUCUAUCUGCUGAUGGAGCCUAAACUGAUGGUGGAGCUGGGGGCAGGAAGCUGGGGGAGGGGACGUGGGGGUGGGGGGUGCUGAGUCAUCCUUUCUUGCCCAAUCUAUCCUCCUGCAGAGGCUCCCUUGUGUCUGUCCUUCAGCCUAGAUGAAGAGAGAAAGAGGGAGAGAGAAUUCAAUUCCCAAGUCAGGCCCUUGGAACGAGAAAAGGCUUUCCCGAGCCGUGCCUGAGAGGUGUUCAGAAGGAAAGGGCAGGAUCGAUUGGAGCCCACCCUGUGAAAAGGGGGAUAAGCCACCUGCAAGUCGGUCUGGGGCACAGCAGUGAACUGGGUGCUGCUCAAUUUCAUAAGGCACCAGACACUGAGAGUACAAAGCCACCACUGGGGAAUUCAGACAUAUGAUCCCGCUCAUGUCCAGAAAUGGGUUAUUCCUCUCUAUGUAACACUGAUUCUGAAUUUCCUUUUUCUUUUGGUACUAGGGAUUGAACCCAGGGGCGCUCUACCUCUGAGCGAAAUCCCCAGCUUUUUGUGUAUUUUUUAUCUUGAAACAAGGUCUUGUUUACUUGCCCAGGUUGACCUUGAACUUGUGAUCCUCCUGCCUCAGCCUCCAGACUACCUGGGAUUACAGGAGUGCAUCUCUGUACUGGGUCUGAAUUUUCAUAAGAAUCAAAUUUUAAUGUUGAUUUCAAGGAAGUGUGGUUAUUAGAAUCUCAGUGUCUUUCUUUUUUUAUUUGGUACUGGGGAUUGAACCCAGAGGCACUUAACCACUGAGCCACAUCCCCAGCCCCCCCCCCCUUUUUUUUUGUAUUUUAUUAGAGACAGGGUCUUGCUGAGUUACUUAGGGCCUUGCUAAAUUGCUGAGGCUGGCUUUAUUCAUAAUCCUCCUGCCUCAGCCUCCCCUGGGAUUAUAGGCAUGCACCACAGCAUCAGGCUUCAGGGUCUUCUUCUUUUUUUUUUUUUUUUUUUGAGAGAGAGAGAGAGAGAGAGAGAGAGAGAGGGAGGGAGAGAAUUUUAUUUAAUUUUUAGUUUUUCGGCGGACACAACAUCUUGAGCCACAUCCCAGCCCCAGGGUCUUCUUUAAGAAGGCCUGCUUUGGGGUCAGCUGCUUGACACCAGUGUCUAGUUCUGUGCGUGUGUGUGUGUGUAUGUGUGUGUUUGUGUGUUUGCUCUUCAAACCAUUUCCAAAUGAUUGGAAUUAUUGCUAGACAUUUUAGAUUUACCAUGAGAUAUGAAUUAGGAGAUGCUCCUAAUAUUAAUUGAUACUGUUUCUGUUGCAAUUGGUCCAGUUACACUACUCUCAUAUAUUGGCCAAUUCUCAUUGUGUUGAAAAUAGUGAAGGCUCCAGGUGCCCGCUGGAAGAUUUGAGAUUUAGACUUACCUCUAAACCCCUCCAGCACAUUGGAAAUCUCUCAGAAGACAUACAAUUUCAUAUAUCCCCCCUACCAUGUGACAACCAGGAAAAAUUAGAGAUAUGGGUAUUUCCUAUUUCUUAUUGUAUCAAAAAGCAAACUUGCCCAAUAGUUUACUGAAGGAUUUUCUGUCCAGACAGUUUGGGAUCCUUUGGAAAGGUGGGUAGAAAAUGCUUGAACUGCCGUUAGAAGAACAGCUGCUCUACGAAUAUGCAAUUGUAAUAUCAUGCUGGAGAUCCCUGGGAAACUUAACAGAAUCUGUGGUUCAGUGGUGAGGUUAUUUUUAUGUGAUUGGAUGUUUUAAAAUGAACUUGAGGGCAGGUACCUAGCAAACAGCAGGAGGAGGAUGACCAAAGAAGCCUCUUGGUGCUUACUCAUCACCAGAACUUGUAUCUUCCUAUUUCCUUUGAAAACAUAUUUUAUUGUAGAAACUUAAAAAAAAUUGUAUUUACAGAGAAUAAGUUUAAAAAAUACAAAACUUAUCUUGAUCUUUCUAGCUGUUGCUAUGGUUUUGAGUAAUACAUCAUUAAAGCCAUGGCACUCCAAUGAUGUAUUAAAGUAAUAUAUCAUAACAAUGCCAUGGCUUUGAUGAUAUAUUAAUGUAAUACAUCGUUAAGGCGCCAUUGGUCUCAUGAUGUAUUACUGAAAACACUACCAAUUGGUUAGAUCAACACACAGAGACCUGUGUGUUAGGGGCAGGAAAAUGGCAAAUGAUUCUGGGCCAAAACACAAUUGAACUUCUCAGAGAUGUCUCACCCACAAAAGCAGUUCUGUAAGAUUGGAUGGGCUUCAAAGAGUGGCAGGGUUGAACUGUAAGUGAAGGGCAAUGGAGACAUCUGCUCUGACUGCAUCAGCAACCCGCGCCUGGGGCUCAGCUUUCCUGUGGGGAAGAGGACCUUUUCCGUGUUAUUACCUAGCAACAGACUAUACUCUGUACUUGCAUGAGUUCACUCAGUUCCCACUGAAAUGCUGUACAGACACCAUUAACCAUAUUUUAGAGGUCAGGAAACGGAGAUUCGGAGAAGUAAUGGGGGAAUCUACUGAGUGAUUGGACCCAGGAUUUGGGUCCAAGUCUACCUAAUUCUGGAGCUGGGGUGGGUGGGAUCCUUCUGAUUCCAUGCCUCAAAUUUAGGGGAAUUAUUUUUUCUCUAACUGUACAGGGAAAAGUAACACUGAAGUUGUAUCUAGGCCCAACUUGUGGUGCAUGUUUGUAAUCCCAAUUACUCUGGAGGCUGAGGCAGGAGGAUUCCCAGUUCAAGGCCAGCCUGGGCAACUUAACAAGACCUUGUUUCAAAAAACGAGGAAGGGGACUGGGGAUUUGGCUCAGUGGUAGAGUGUUUGCAAGGGGUGUGAGGCCCUGAGACAGAUCCUCUGCACUGCAAAAGAAAGAAAGAAAGAAAGAAAGAAAGAAAGAAAAGAAAGAAAGAAAAAAGGGGUGGUGGUGGUGGCGGUGUUGAGGGAUGCAGCUCAGUGGAGCCCAGAGCAGCACUGGGACCCGCCUCCAUCCAGUACUCCUCCCCCACCAAUAAAAGAAUGAACUGGCUGCCAACCUUCCCUCUUCCUCAUCCUCCAUUCAAGAUGGGAAGUGUAUUGUACGUCCAAUAUCUACAGAAGGCAUUUGGAAAAGCAGAGAGUAGGCAAUGUUAGACAGGCAUUUGGCAGCUGUCUGAUUUUUCUCAGGAUUCUGCUGUUCUGCCAGAUGCCCAAACUGCCGCUGAAGGAGGAGAGGGCUCUGGGAGGGUGGAUCUGUUGGUGACACAAAGCUCAACUUUACCCCAAUUCCCUACCAUUCUCUAAGCAGCCUCCGUCCUGGGUCCCUGCCUUCUACUCUUGCUCUCACUACAAACCCAUCCUUCACACAGUGGCAGAGUGAGAUCUGAAAACAAAUAUCCCAUCACUUUGCUUAGUUCCCUCACAGGCUUGGCACUGCCCUCAGGAUGAAACCUAAACACACUCCCUGGCCCUGGAAGCCCUGCCUUUCCCAAGGGGCUGCGCUGCUCUUCUGUCUACUCCUGGAGUGAAUUUAUUGCUUUGGACUAAUUGGUGGACUUUUGCACUGACAAUCUAUAUUUUGGGGUGGUACCAGAGAUUGAACUCAGGGGCACUCAACUGAGCCCCAUCCCCAGCCCUAUUUUGUAUUUUAUUUAGAGACAGGGUCUCACUGAGUUGCUUAGCGCUUUACCAUUGCUGAGUCUGGCUCUGAACUUGUGAUCCUUCUGCCUCAGCCUCCCGAGCCGGUGGGAUUACAAGGGUGCGCCACGGCGCCUGGCUCUGAUGAUCUUGACCAGCUUUGAAUGGCUGCUUCUUUCUUUUCACCUUAAAUAACACCAUCUCAGAGAGGCUGCCCCAGGUCACCAGUCAUUUUUGCCAUGUUUCCCUGCCAUUCUGGUCCUCUCACUCCCUGAUAUUUGAUUAUUUAUCCGUCCUCUCUCCUGGCACCCCCAGAGGAUAGCCUGGGCCCUGCCUCUACUUCUUUCUGUUGUACCCAGGCCUAGCGCAGCCUGGCACAUGAGGCGCUCAAUGACAAUGGCCGAGACCAAAGAUCUCAUGUUCACUGAUUGACCACAGUGAUGAUAAUUCCAAGAGAGGAGAUUGAAAGAUUAGGUGUUACAGAGCUACGGGAAAAAGGAAUAGACAGUAAAUAUAAAGGUCCUGACAACAGUUGACACUUCACCAUAAAACAAAAAAAAUGGGUCCUCUACAGGGAUUCAGAGAGCCGGGAUGCGGUGCCCUGGGACUUGGUGAAUGCUGAGGUACUUUCCAGCCUCUUCCAUGAGCGGCCCGUCCUAAGCCUCUGUCCAUGAUGUGUACGUCACUCUGUCUUACACGUUCCCAUGGUCCUAUGUAUUUGUGAACACUUUGGAAAAGUGAGAAAUUUCCACCACAGUCAUCCUCACUCUUCUGCUCCUGUUGGAUGAUGUUGGAGCAGCCGUGGGUGUUUGAUACUUGUAAAUUCACAAGCAUUUUGUAUAACUAUGCUUACAUAUUUCUCUCGAACAAAAUUCAUUACCUUGUAUUAGCUUCUGACUCCCCAAACCCAGCACCUCUAUUUGAAAGCAUAUUCUGAAAAGGUGGUAAAAAGGAGCAUGCCGCGCCCAGUGCACACAUGCCUGUAAUCUCAGCUGCUCAGGAAGUUGAGGGAGGAGGAUUGUGAGUUCAAAGCCAGCCUCAGCCACUCAGCAAGGCCCUAAGCAACUCAGCAAGAUCCUGUCUCUAUAAAUAAAAUACAAAGAAGGGCUGGGAAUAUGGCUCAGUGGUUAAGUGCCUCUGGGUUCAAUCUUCGGAAAAAAAAAAAAGGAGUAUGUCUGUCACUGGUGUCUGGGUCAACUAUAUGCUAGAAAAUUAAUUGAUUUUUAGUUAGGUUUUUUUUUUUUCCUAUGGUCCUGGGGAUUGAACCCAGUACCUCAUUUGUGCUAGGCAAGCGUUCUACCACUGAGCCACAACCCUAGCCCCAUAAUUAAUUUUAAGUAAUUCAUUCAUUUUACAAUGGAAAGGAAUUAUGUCUUAUGAUCUAUUAUAAUUAUUUCUUGUGAGAGGAAGAGUUCAGAGUCUGGAAAAAAUUGGGGAAGUUUCUGGAACUUUUUUCCCCUUUAUAACUUACUUGUUCUUUGUCUUAUUUUUUUUGGGGGGGGUCUUCUAAAUUAAUCAACUUUUUAAUUUUGGAUGAAUCAACCCCUAUUAAGAUACUGACUUAGUGUGCUACCCCUCCCAGAAGUAUCUUUACUUAGAGGAUUAUUCAAAGGAUAAUAAUGGAGUAUGGACAAUUUAGGACGAUAGCAGAGAAGAUACUUAGAAGCAAGAAACAUUUAGAAACCCCUCACAUUAAGGAAGGUCCUGAGUGAACUGGCCCUUAGUUAAUAAAUGAACUAAUUAAAUAAGAUUUUUCUAGUGUCUUGCAUAUGCUAAUUGCUGAGACUGCACUGAUGACCCAAACCAGAAGCCACCUCUGUUCUUACAGAGCAUCCGGUAUACAUUGCCACCCUGCUUUCAUCCCGCCGCCCGAGGACCAAACAGGGUGCCCUGAAGACCUCGGCAGGCUGAACCUGGGCAGGGUUUUAUUUGCCACUGACCCUGGGCUAGUCACCCUUGUGCAGGGCACAAAUUAGAGUCGCAAUGGCUUGGCUUAGAGUCUGCUGUAGAGACGUCUGAAUCAAACAGUUACUCGCUCAGCUGAAACCGAGGGGGAAGAGCACAGAGCUCUAUCAACAUAUGACAAGAUCUUCGCCUGGACCUGGGCAUCAAUAGAGGGCUCCCUGAGGGGACAACCCUGGCACUGACAUUCAAGGGUGAGGAUGGGAGGGUCGGAGGGAGACUGUGGGAUGGGAGGUGACAUUUGAAGAGUUUACCAGAUAGAGGAAACACAUGUGCAAAGACCUAGAGGUGAGAGAAGAUAAGCUUGGGGGACGUCAAGAGAGCCAAGGUAUCUGGAGGGAAAACAGGGAGGACAUGGAGACUGCUUUGGAUUGAGGCUGGAGGAGGAGGCCAGGCCAAAGCAUGCAAUCCCUGUGGCCCUGCUCAAGACUUGGGCUUCAACUGAGGAGCCAGGGAAUAUUUUCUGAAGCAGUGGUGACAUAAGACAUUAAAAAGACAAUCUUGGCUUCAGUCUGAUCCUAUAGGGACAGAGAGAUUGUGGGGAGGCUCUCAUGGUGGUUUGGUGAGAGGUGACUCUGGUUUUGCCUAAGAUGGCAACACAGGCGACUUUCUCUGGUUACAUGUCACAGUUGUGUCCUGGACUCUUUCAUAAACUAAACAAAUCCAUGAGGCCUCAGAUAACGAUGGCUUCAGUCUUGGUUUCUGAAAAUAUUUUCUCCAUGUUUCAAAUAUAAAUUCACUGAGUCCAUUGCACUAAGAGACUUGUUUCCCCUAGUCUUUCCCCACAUAACCUCCAUUUUUUGUCCUUUACUUAAUAAUUGUCUACUUGGUCAUAGAAACUCUUUUUAUUAUUUACAUUAAGUAAAAAUUAGGAUUCGUGAGUCACACAGUAAUGUAUAACAGGUGACCCAAAACUUAGUAGUUUCCAAUAUUAGUAAACAUUUCCAGUGUCAGGUGAAUCUGUGGCUCGGGAACGUGGAAGAAGCUGAGCUGAAUGGUCCUGGUGCAGGUGCUUUCAAGAUAUGGAAGUCGAGAUGCCAGGUGGGACAUCAGAGGCUUGAGGCUGAGGAUCUGUUUCCCAGGUGGCCACUCACAUGGUGUGCAAGUCAGUGCUUGCUGUUGGUGGGAGGCCUCCGUUCCCUAGCACAUGGUCCCUCCAAAGAGCAUCUGAGGCCACCUAGCUUCCCCUGGAGUGGGUGGUCCCAGAGGAAGCAAGGGAAGAGCUGUAAUGUCUCCUUUGAACUUGACUUGGGGUCCCACUCCAUCAUUUGUACCAAAUCCUAAUGGUGACACAGGUCAGUCCUGUUUAAUGUGGGAGGAGAUUAGAAGCUUCUGGAGCAUGAAUACCAGGAGGACCAUCUUGGAGGUUGGCUUUCAUAAAAUGUGAGAGACAAAAUAGCAUCCAUGUGCAUAUAUCAGGAAAAAGCUUUAGACAGCCUAUCUUACACAUUUUUUUCCCAUAAUGAUUCUUUUAGAAAUUGUACUUUGAUUUCCAAAUUCCAGUACUAAUUGGUUGUGUUUUAUGUGUCAUUCACAAUUGUUAGAUGAAAAAGAAAUAGUUUGAUUCUUCAGUGUAAGACAAUGUGGGGAUUAUAAAAUUCUAGUAGGCUUAAAAAAAACCCCUUUAAUUAAUAAAAAUUUAAAAAGCUUUAAUUAAUAAAAAUAUUAAUUUCCUACUAUUAAACAUUAUGUAUGAUUAGAAUUCACUGUGGCAAGGUAAAUGGAUAAGUAUUAUUUGUGCUUAUUGAGAGACUAUCUAAGACACUGGAGGUAGCAGUAAGGGAGAAAAUUUCAUGGUCCCUGAAAAGAGAAAGCAUAAACUCAUGAAAAAUAGAAAUGGCAGCACAAAAAAUGAGCAAAAGAAUUAUACAGCUAAUAGAUGCUAGAAGCUGGACAUGGUGGCACAUACCUGUAAUCCCAGCGACUCUUGAGGCUGAAGCAGGAGGAUUGUGAGUUUAAAGCCAGCCUCAGCAAUGUAGUAAGGCCCUAAGCAAUUCAGUGAGACCCUGUCUCUAAACAAAAUAUACAAAAGGGAUAGGGAGGUGGCUCAGUGGUUAAGUGUCCCUGGGUUAAAUCCUUAGUACAGAAAAAAAAAAUCUAAUAGAUGCUCCAGUGGUUGAAAGGAGAGAGGGAUUCCCUACAACCCACAGGAGUGAAGGUCAUGAGCCUAUAUGGAAGUGACAUUAUUUGAACUGUGACUUAUAGUACUAAAGAGGAGUAAUCAAUCAAUUCAACAAUUUAUGAGUCACCUGUUAUUUAAUUAAGCACCAAGCUAGAUUAAUAUAAAACGAUUCUUUCUUCAAAAUACUUUAAAUUUUGUAUUGAUGUAAAUAAAAGGAGAAAAAGUGUUUCAGGCAGACUGCUGGAAACUCUUACCCCCUGUUGCCCAUCAUACUGACAUCGGUUAUCCCUCAAGGAAAAGACCAAGAAAGAAGCCAAGUCUGCCUGAAUCCUAAUCCCAUGUGUCAGACGAGUGACUGUCCAGGUGGAGGUGGUGGCAUGCACGGUGGCAGGAAUAAGGGAGAUCCGCCGGCAGAGGAGCAGGGCAACUCUGCAAGGACACAGAAGUGAAAUCACAAAAAUGUACAAAAAUGUACUGAGGAACGUGUACCCUUGAGCUAAAUAGCUUUGAAAAUAAUUCUGAUAAUUUUGAUUCUGAAAACAGAAUUGAGGUUCAAUUGCCAGUGGCUCUCUACGCCAGCCACCAUUGCCAGCACUUCAUCUCAACCUUGGGCACCAUAUUUUCUUCAGCCUUUAUUUAUAUUACGCAACUGGAUUCUACUGGGCCCUCGCCAAGGACAGAGUGGGCCUUGCAUCAGUGUUAUGGCGUUGGAUGGUUUGAAUGUUUCUGUCUUCCCCAAGUUUGUGCAUUGAGAUCCUGAGCCCCAGUGCAAUGGCAUUAGGAGGUGGGGCCUCUCCAAGGUAGCUUGGGUGAGGAGGGUGGGGUCUUCAUGAAUGGGGACAGUGUCCUUAUAAGAGAGACCACAGAGACUUUCUGGCUCUCUGACUGCCUUGUGCAGAUAAAAGGAAGAUGGCAGUCUACAACUGUGCAGAGGGCUCUUUCAGAACCUGACCUACUGGCACACCUUGACCUUAGACUUCCAGCCUCCAGACCUGUGCUCGCCACCUGCUGCCCAUCCUGCUAACAGACAAUCUUUUGAGGCAAAUACCAAGGUUGAAUCCAGGUCUGCCUGGUUCCCGAUCCCUGUACUGAGAUGAGUGACUCCAUGACAGCAGACUCAGAUGCAGAGCCAGGGAUGGUGGAGUGAAAUAGAGUAGUGGCGUUUUCCUCUUGGGUUUUAUAAUUCCCUCCUUUCACAGCUGCCUUUGGGUUUGUUGAGACCAAAAAGUCUAACACUGAAAUGCCUCUGUGGUCCCCAGGAGCCCUGCAAGUCUUGACAAUCAGACACAGUCAGGGCACUGCUACAUGCUCUAGCUGCCACGGGUCAGUGCCAGCCUGUCACUCUGCAGAGAAGUGACAGGAAGAGUGUUCAGAACUAACAGAUGGCUAUUUGCUGUUCCCUUUGAUCUGUGCACACCGGCUUGUAAGGUGCCUCACUGUAGCUGUCACUUUCUGUUUGGGGUCUUGCUGAACGGGUUUGUCCGCAGUAACUGUGGCAGCGCAGCGAGGUGCCUUCUUGGGGUGGACUUUUCCCUGAGCCCUAGAAAUCUCCAAAGUUUACAGACGGUUGGAGGAGUUGGUUGGCGGUGAACAUGCCCAGUGAGAGAGCAAGUGAGUGGGUUUAGGGUGCCUGGAGCCAACACCCGACCCUGAACUUGAUGAAUUAGUACAAUGAGCAGUGUGUCAUUGGGCUUCUGGCCACUAAGUGGGGCAUGUGGUGGUGACAUCUGGGAGGAAAGAAAUAUGAACAUCUUCCAGUGGUCUUUGAGGUCUUCUACUAGUCAUGUUAUUGGAAUAGUUAUGCCACAAAAGGGUUAGAAAUGCAUUAACUAAUUUUUUUUAAAGACAGAGUGAGAGACAGAGAGAGAAAGAAUUUUUUAACAUUUAUUUUUUAGUUUUUUUGGCGGACACAACAUCUUUGUUUGUAUGUGGUGCUGAGGAUCGAACCCGGGCCGCACGCAUGCCAGGCGAGCGCACUACCGCUUGAGCCACAUCCCCAGCCCAACAUUAACUAAUUUUUAGUUUUUGCUACUGGGAUUGAGCCCAGUGGCACUUUACCACUGAGCCACAUCCCCAGCCCUUUUUUAUUUUAUUUUGUGAUAAGUUCUUGCUAAAUUGCUGAGGGUCUGGCUAAGUUGCCAAUGCUGGCCUCAAAAUUGUGAUCCUCCUGUUUCAGCCUCCCAAGUAGCUGGGAUUAUAGGUACACAACAUGGAGCCCUGAUAGCAACUCCCUUUUGUGUAAGGAGUAGGGAAUAUGAUAUUUCAGAUAUGUGGUGUUGGAUGCACCUGAGUCAGAACUUCCUGUUCUGUGCAGCAGAUUUGGGGAGGCUGGUUAGUGGGUGUUGACCCCUGAAAUGGCAUUGGAACAUGUAUACCAGGCACCGUGGUUGUCUGACGGCUAUAAGGGGUUGAGCAGCUAUUACAACCAAGACUUAAGUAGAACUUAAGGACACCCCGUUUUCAGUUGUUUCUAAGACCCUUUAAACUACUAAAGUCAUGUAUGAGUUUGGUAACCAAACUAGAAAGAAAUCAAAAUGAGAGAAAGAAGAGGAAAAAAAUGGGACUGAUCAGUUAAAAAUUUAUUCUGUCUUUAUAAUUCUUGCCCUAUUAUAGUAAAAUUUUAAGUAUAAAAAUAAUCAGUGUUAGCGUAACAAGUGUAGCAAGGCUUCGUGUGGCUCUGCCACCCAGGGCUGAGUUGAUCGAUCCUUCAGGCUUUUCACAAACUGCUUUCUGGUGAAGGGUGGAGGCUUAGAAGUCUAUGGUUCCAAGCCAUCCAUCCUUAAGUCUUGAUCACCUCGAAGUCUCAAGACUUAAGGAAAACAUAGGUACAGGGCUGGGGAUAGAGCUCAGUUGGUAGAGCGCUUGCCUAGCACGUGUGAGGCACUGGGUUUGAUUCUCAGCACCACGUAAAAUAAAAUAAAGGUAUUGUGCUCAUCUAUUAUAAAAAAUAUUUUUAAAAAUGGGUACAAGAGAGUAUCUAUUGCUCAUAUUUAAGACAUAUUUAUGUCUUACACAGAGGCACUUAAAUUUGAAAAUUAGAGUAAUUAUGAACAUUGAAACUUAGAGUAAUUGUUUUAUAUGGCAAACAUUUCACUGAGCUUCUGUGGUCUGCCAGGCCCUCCACUGGGACUGGGGGAAAGGUAAGGACAUCAUAGGCAGAAUGACAGACAGCAUUGGUGGUAAGCACUGCUGCUUGGAGUCCACAUGCUGGACAAGGCUUGAAAGGGCACCAGGAGCUCUGCUGGCUACUGGGGUAAUGCCUGAGUGCUUAUAUUUGUUGGGAGACUCGGAUAGAAGCCUAUUUCAAACCAGUUCAAGGAAGAAUGAGAAUUGAUAUGCUCAUGUAAAAUCUAGGAUAGCAGAGAAGCAAUCGCAAAAACGUCUGCACGGCUGGAUCCAGGUGCGGCGUGUCCACAGGAAUCUGUCUCUCAUCAUGCAAGUUCUGCUUUCCUGUGUUUUGCUGUAUUUUCAGGCAAAUCUCUACCCUGGUGCUGGCAACAAUGGCUGCUGCAGUUCCAGGUGUAGGUCCCAGUAGCCCUGCUCCCGGAGGGAGAAAGGGCACCUCUGUCCAAGAGCUCCAGCAGAAGUUCUGGAAGAUACACUCUGGCUGGGUUUGGGCCAGUGUCUCUGUUUAAGCCAUCGGGACAGUUCUGUGUUGCUCUGGCUGGGCCAGGGGCAAUGUCCACUCUUGGAGCUUUAGGACAAGGUCUAGUCCCCAUCCUGAAACAUGGCUGAGGGGUAGAAGGAAAGUGGUUCCUGAAAACCACGGGGAAAGCAUGUCCUGUUACCAAAAGAAGAAAGGGACACUAGAAAGGCAAAAUAACAGGUGUGUCCCAGAGUGGGCAUGUCCAUGGAGUCACAUGAUCUCCCCCUUUCACACCUACAGGCAAAGUCCAGAUUGGCCUUGGGACCAAGGGAUAUGGCUGCAUGUGGUUGCUGUGGGCCCCCCACCCCUAAUUCUCAAGUCUGUUUUUUAUUUUAAAUAGUUUUUUUUAAAGAUGGUAAAUGUAAUUACCAUGUAAAAAAUCAUGAUAAAAAUUCAAAUAAAACAUAAGAUAAAAUAAAAAAGUUUCUCCCAUCCCUAACCACCAGCCCUUAGACCCCAACAUAACCAAAAUGGUAUAGACUUCCAGAAAUGUCUCUUUUAAAAACAAAUUAUUUAUCUCCUAUCAUUAGAUCCAUUAUCUAAUUUUUCUUUAACAAAUUAUAUCAUAUUAUGAACAUGAAUCUCCAAUAUGGUUUUUCAUUUAGAAAUGUUUCUUGGUAUCUUUUACUAUCAGCACACACACACACACACACACAAAAUGGUUUUUAGAAACUGUAUGCUAUCCCAUAAAAUAGGAUAGCACAUCUAUUAUGUCAUUUUUCUGUUAGUGGACAUUUAUAUUAUAUUUCUGAUUAAUUUUCAAACAAUUCUGUCAGGGACAUUGCUGUACUCAUAGUUUAGUGUACUUCUGCAAGUGUAUCUGUCAGCUAAAUUCCUAGAGGUGAAAUUUUUCAAGGAUAUAGUACCAACUUUGAAUGCAUAUUAAGAAAUGGACUUCCCAGAAGACUGUGCCAAUUUCCAUUCAUGCCAAUAGCAUUGAAAGUGCUAGUUUCUUCACAUCUAAUCACCACUGGAUAUCUUUAAACUUUCUAUUGUUUUUAAUGAUAGGUGAAAAUGGUAUAUCAUUAUUUUAAUUUGCAUUUUAAAAUUACAAAUGAUAGGGUUGAGGGUGUAGCUAAAUUGUAGAUCAUGUUCUUGGCACGAAUGAGGCUCUGGGUUCAAUCCCUGGAACCAUAAAAACAAACAUAGAAAUGAACACAAAAGCAAAUGAAAUUGGAAAUGUUUUAAUUUGUUUAGCCAUUUCUUUUUUCUUUUCUUUUCUUUCUUUCUUUCUUUCUUUCUUUCUUUCUUUCUUUCUUUCUUUCUUUCUUUCUAUUUAUUUACUUAUUGCAGUAUUGGGGAUACUAGGAGAACACUGUACCACUGAGCUGCAUUCCAAACCCUUUUUUAUUUUAUCAGAGACAGAGUCUGGCUAAGUUGCUCAUUAUGACCUUGAACACACGAUUCUCCUGCCUCAUCCUCUGGGAUUGCAGUCACAUACCACAUGUUUAACCAUUUCUAUUUCAUUUCUAUGAAUUAAAAUUUGUUCUUUCUACUCAUAUUGAAAAGUUAGUAGAUGGAUUACUACUUACCAUUGAUGGAAUCUCAGGAUUUUAGAGAUGGAAGAACUCUCAAGAUCAUCGUUUUUCUCGUUUUCCAGACAAAGAAAGUGGGGUCUAAGAAGCAAAAUUAAUUGUCCAAGGUUACACAAUUAGAGACUGAUCUAAGAUCAGAACAUACCCGGUCUCAGGUUUUAUGACUCAAAUCUUGUACUCUGUCUUGGAAAUUUAAACUAGUCAUUUUAACCUAUUACCUUCCCCAGGAGCUCCUUGUGACUGUCCCCACUGAUGCAACAAGCCAGCUUCUCCAUUCACCCAUUAACUUAAUGGUGUGCUGCCCCAGGGCCUGGUCCCCGGCCAUGUGUUAAACUUCACAGUCACUGGUGGUGAAAGGCUCUGCUGUUCUGGUGGCUGUGUCUGACUCAGGGGACAGGAGCUCCUGCUCAGUUGACACCAACUCAGGGCAAACCAAGUGGGAAGAAUCAGUAGUCUUGCCCCUGCCAUUACUUACAGUUUUCAUGGAUUGUUGAGUAUAAUGAAAUAGUCCCAGGAACAAGAAUUCUAAAACUCCACCUUCUAUUCCUCCCACCGAGCUAUUGCAAAUUCCUCAUGAAAUGACAGCAUUUAAUGUCAAUCUUGGAAUUAGAAUUUUAUCUUCCUUGCCCUCCUCAAGGAGCUCUUAAACAAUUACUAAAACCCAAGUUUUAGACAUUAGGGGAAUUUAAAGAUGAGAACUGCCCGUCACAGAUUGUAAUCCAGGGAAUUCUAAAAACCAGCCUCCCCUGUCUCCACUAUAUUAUACUGGCUUUUUCCUCCUACUGGAGGAGUAAGACGUUUUAUUAUAUUUACAAUUAAGAUACAUCUUGAUCUUCUUUUCUGAAAGAACUUAAAACUAACCUAUCCACUGGAAAGCUGUUGAUAACAUUUUCCAAUUGAUACAAAAGAGGUGAGACUUUAAAGAAAAUAAGUGAGAGAAAUAAAAAUAAUCAGUAAUUAAGUAGUUAGGCUACAUGCUGCCAAGUUAUCUACAUUGAGAAGCAAAACAUAAAUAAAUUGAAUAUAACAAAUAAAAAUUGGAGCUGGGUGUGGUGGUGCAUGCCUGUAAUCCUGGCAGCUCAGGAGGCUGAGGCAGGAGGCAGGAGGAUUUCGAGUUCAAAGCCAGCCUCAGCAACUUAAUUUUUUUUUUUUUUAGUUGUAGAUGGACACAAUACCUUUAUUUUAUUUAUUUAUUUUUAUGGGGUGCUGAGGAUCGAACCCAGUGCCUCAUACAUGCUAGUAAGUGCUCUACCACUGAGCUACAACCCCAGCCCAGGCCCUAGCAAUUUAGUGAGGCCCUAAGCAAUUCAGUGAGACCCUUUCUCUAAAUCAAAUACAAAAAGGGCUGGGGAUGUGGCUCAGUGGUUAAGUGCCCCUGAGUUCAAUCCCUAGUACCACCACCACCAAUAACAACAACAAAACAAAUAUUGAAAAAAAUAGGGGGCUGGGGUUGUGGCUCAGCCGAAGAGCCCUCGCCUAGCACGAGUGAUUCUCAGCACCAUGUAACAAUAAUAAAAUAAAGGUAUUGUGUCCAACUACAACUAGAAAAUAAAUAAAUAUCUUUAAAAAAAAAGAAAGAAAAAAAUAGGGAGGCAUAUGUAUUUUCUAAGUUGUGUAAUUGCUAGAAGAUGCUUUGGCACGUGGCCUUAAAUUUUUUUCUUUUUCAACUUAAUGUGUGUGGCUCACCACAGGUCAACUGGGGACCUGUGUACAGGGGUCUGAGUGUGCUAUUUCUGGUUUCCAAGAGAGAAUUCUUUUAUUUUUCCCCCCUUUUCAUUUCCAGGUUAUAUGCAGUUAAUUAUUGGAAUGCUGAACAUUGUGUCCGAACACUUGGAAGUCUCUGACUUCCGUGCAGGCUAAGAAAAGCAGAAUGGAUACAGGGAAAUUCGGCCAGCCCUGUUUUAUUGACCUUCUCCAAGUACAUUAAUAAGAAAUUGUGCCUUUGAUUUCAGUUAAAGGCAAUUUGGAACUGGCUUAUUAAAUACUAAUGAAAAUGUUCUUGCUUUCAGAAGUUAACUUUCUGUGAAAUGAAUGGCAACUAGGGAAUAUUUUAAAUAAAGACUGAUUUCUAAUGAAAAGGCUGAGGGUGGAUAAGCAAGGGGUGAAGUCCUGUUCUAGGGUCCAUCUUUGACCAGGUUAAAGCACCAAAGGCUAAAACACUGACCUCGGAUUUUGCUAGUGAAUAUUUUUGCCUAAAAAAAAAAUGCUUAAGAAAGUUUGUAAAAAUCUUGCUUUUGGAAACUUCCACGCCCCUCAAAUCCAGUGGCCAGAUUUAUGAUGAUGAUGACCACUGAAAUCUAUCAUUGAUUAACAACAACCUGGUUACCUAGAUACUGGCAGGCCUUCACAUCUAACAAAGAACAGGCCAAAGGCAGAAGGAAAUGAUUCAUUGUCAGGUAAGUCAAAGCAAAGGAGCUAUUGAUAGGAGGUCCGUGGGAACUUAAAUAAGGGGAAUUGUGUACUCUUCUUUCUUUUACAAGCCUUUUAAAUACCUUUUUUAAAGAUGGAAGUUUGGUCUAUUAUUUAAUGGGAAUAUGUAUAAAAGGAUGUCAUUAUGCUGGGCACAAUGGCACACACUUAUAAUCUCAGUGACUCAGGAGACUGAGGCAGGAAUAUCACAAGUUAGAGGCCAGCCUCUGCAAGUUAGUAAGACCCUGUCUCAAAAUAAAAAAAUAAAAGAAAUAAAAAAGUGCUGGGAUGUAACUCAGUGGUAAAACACUUGCCUGGCUUGUGCGAGGCCCUGGGGAUCUCCAGCACCACUAAAUAAAUAAAUAAAGUAUGCCACUAUAAAGUGCUGUAGUGUGUUGCACUAUGGUGAGGUCUGCUAGGUUGAGACUUACCAGUGGAUGGCAUCACCAGUGGACGGCAUCAGUCUACACACUGUGGGCUGAUGGGGACAGUCAGGGAGGGAUUAAAAAUGACAGCUGUGUUAGCUUUUUAGGGUGCCAUUAUAAAACAACACAAACUGGGAGGCUUAAACAAUAGAAAUAUAAUUUUUCACAAUUUGAGAGGCUUGAAGUUCAAGAUCAAGAUGUUGGCAGGGCUGGUUUCAUUCUUAGGCCUUUUUUCUUGGCUUCAGAUGGAUUUCUUACUGCCUCUUCUCAUGCAGAAUCUUGAGUCCAGGUCUUUGAUUUUUGUUGAGCCUUGUAUAGCGUGUCUAUGCCAGGCAUACAUACCAUCCACUUGACCCUGUGGACCCCGUAACUGGUCCUGCUUAACUGAAUUCUACAUGACACAUGGAUCUGGACUGUAAUUUAUUCUGAGCCAUCUUUCUUGGAAUAAACUUACCAAUUUUGUUCUUCUCAGAAAUAGUGAAGUGUUCUAGGCAAGUGGCACACAACUAUAAUACCAGUGACUCAGGAGGCUGAGGCAGGAGGAUUACAAGUUCAAAGCCAGCCUCAGCAAUUAAAAAAGGGAUGAGGAUGUAGCUUAGUGAUAAAGUGCCCCUGUGCUAAAUGUCCAUUACAAAAAAAAAACAAAAAAAAACCAACAACAACAAAACAAAAAAGCUAUCUAAAUGACAAGGAAAUUACAACAUUUGAACAAAAGGAGAGUAUGUAGGUUAACAUUCAGGCUCUGGUUUAAGGGCCAGACUGUCCACAUUCUGGAAAGAUCCUGUGUCUCUCUUCUGUUUCCUAUUAUCACACCCCUCAGUUAACUUUCUGUUUAUAAAAAUGGCAUGAAUCUUAUCCCGAGUCAUUACAGCUGUUUCACACUAUGAACCCAAUGUUCAAGGAACCAUUGUGAGAUUUAAGAAUACACUGGUGGGAGUGGGGUUGUGGCUCAGUGGUAGGCACCUUCCUGGCACAUGUGAGGUACUGGGUUUGAUCCUCAGCACCACAUAAAAAUAAUAAAUUAAUAAAACGAAGACAUGAAAAAAUUUAAAAAUACGCUGGUGUCAAGAGGAAAGAUCACAUGAAUUCUUUAAGGUCUUGGGGUCUGAACUAGCAGAGGACAAGCUGUAAAAUGCUUCUGUGACAUCUCAUCUACAAAAUGAGCCUCGUAGUCCGCAUAUGGAUUUAGCCACUGAAUCUACAGCCUAGAGAUUGACUUUAUGUGGAUUCUUCAGACCCAACCUCAUCCAAAAGUUUUCUGGAGCCUGCCCAUCUUUACCUUUUCCUGUGGCCACCGUCCUCUGGCUCAUUUUUAUCCUCUUGUCUCUUUUGGACCUACACAGUUGCAGUAGCUUAGCUGACCUCUGCCUCUAGUCCCUCCCACUUCAUUCCGCCGUCAGUGCUGCUGCCAGCUUGAUCUUUCUAGAACACAGCUUGGCACGCGCAGCUUCCCUGUCCAAAAAAACCUUCCAGGAUUCAGGUUGCUUGGAGAAGAGAUUGCACACUCCUUAAACUGACUCCUGCAAAGCCAGACUUUGCAUAUCCACCCUCAGUUACUUUUCUAACCUCAUCUCCAAUCACUCCCUGUCAUCGUACACCCCUGUGACACCUCCGUGGCUUCUUGCACACUGGUAUCUGUACUGGCCACGCCUUCUGCCCAGUGGACUGCUAUUUGCUCUUCAAAGUCCAGUUUGCCUGUCCCUUCUGUGAGUCUGUUUCCUCUGCAUGUUGGUGGAGUAAGUCCCCUCUCAUGUGUUCCGUGGUUCUUUCUUCACCUUGUUAUAAUGUCCCUAUUACCUGUCUUUCUCUCUGGCCAGGUGUGAGCUCCUCAAAAGCAGGAACUGUGUUUUGUUUACUCCUUUUUUUUUUUUUUUUGACACCAGGGAUUUAAUCCAGAGGUGCUUAACUGCUAAUUUAAUCGAGUGUCGAGUGAUGCUUCCCUGCCCUUUUGUAUAUUUUAUUUAGAGACAGGGAUCUCACUAAAUUGCUUAGGGCCUUGCUAUGUUGUUGAGGCUGGCUUUGAACUCUCGAUCCUCCUGCCUCAGCCACCUGAGUCAUUGGGAUUAUAGGCAUGUGCCACCAUGCCCAGUUCCCCUCCUUCUUUUUAGAAGACAUAAAGAGUUUUUAAGGGGCUGGAGUUGUGGCUCAGUGGUAGAGCACUUGGCUAGCACAUGCGAGGCCCUGGGUUCGAUCCUCAGCACCACAUAAAAAUAAAUAAAUAAAGAUAUUGUGUCCAACCUAAAAAAUAUACAUAUCAAAAAAGAGUUUUUUUUUAAAAAAAGAUUCUGAAUUACAUAUUAAGCCAACGGAAGCCUCUAGUUUGAGGUUUGUUAGUUACUAGGCAAGUGAAUGGAAGCCAUAGGACUUAGAGGAAGCAUCCAUAUUGACAGCUCCCAUCCUUCUAUAAAAUUGAGGUUUUGUAGAAUGUCUGGAAAAUGGCAUAUAAUCUGAUUUUCCUUUUUUCUUAAUUCACAAACUCCAAAGCUCCCUCUCUAACCCUUUCUUUAAAUUUGUUGAAAUUUAUUAUUAUUAUUAUUAUUAUUAUUAUUAUUAUUAUUAUUUUAUUAUUAUUAUUUUGUGUGUAGUGCUAGGGAUGGAACCUAGGGCUUUGUAGAUGCUGGGCAAGCACUCCACCACUGAGCUGAGCUAUACCCCUAAUCCUAAACAUUUUUAUUUAAAAAAUGAAUUUUAUUGUGUACGUUACAGGUAUACAAUAUGACAUAUGAGAUACACAAAAAUUGGGAAAUGGUUGCUGUGGUGAAUCAAUUAGCAGUUACCAGCUAAAACCUAUUCAUUUAGUAAAAAUCCCCAAUACAAUACAUUAUUGAUGCUCUUCAUGCCGUACAUUGAAUCCUAGACUUGUUCACCUACAUACCUGCUACUUUGUUGUUGUUUUUUUUAAUUUUUAUUGUUGGUUGUUCAAAACAUUACAUAGUUCUUGAUAUAUCAUAUUUCACACUUUGAUUCAAGUGGGUUAUGAACUCCCAUUUUUACCCCGUUUACAGAUUGCAGAAUCACAUCAGUUACACAUCCAUUGAUUUACAUAUUGCCAUACUAGUGUCUGUUGUAUUCUGCUGCCUUUCCUAUCCUCUACUAUCCCCCCUCCCCUCCCCUCCCCUCCCCUCUUCUCUCUCUACCCCCUCUACUGUCAUUCAUUUCUCCCCCUUGUAUUAUUUUUCCCUUUCCCCUCACUUCCUCUUGGAUGUACUUUUGUAUAACCCUGAGGGUCUCCUUCCAUUUCCAUGCAAUUUCCCUUCUCUCUCCCUUUCCCUCCCACCUCUCAUCCCUGUUUAAUGUUAAUCUUCUUCUCCUGCUCUUCGUCCCUACUCUGUUCUUAGUUACUCUCCUUAUAUCAAAGAAGACAUUUGGCAUUUGUUUUUUAGGGAUUGGCUAGCUUCACUUAGCAUAAUCUGCUCUAAUGCCAUCCAUUUCGGCAUACCUGCUACUUUGCAUCCUCUGAAACUGCCCCCCGCCAUUCCCUGUCUCCCAGGUAAACACUGUUUCAAUUCUAUCUCUGUUAUUUCUGUGUAAUUUUUUUUUUUUUAGAGAGAGAGAAUUUUUAUUUAUUUUUUAGUUUUUGGUGGACACAACAUCUUUGUUUGUAUGUGAUGCUGAGGAUCGAACCUGGGCUGCACGCAUGCCAGACGAGCGCCCUACCGCUUGAGCCACAUCCCCAGCCCUAUUUCUAUGUAUUUGAUUUUUUUUUUUUUAAGAUUCAACAUGUGAGAUCAUGUGAUUUGGCUUACUUCACUUGGUAUAAUGUCCUGGAUUCUUCCAUGUUGGGGCAAAUGGCAGGAUCUCCUUUAUUAAGUCUGAAUAAUAUGGCACUGUAGGCAUACACCAGUUUCUUUAUUUAUUUGUGCCCAGCAGAUGUGUCCCUCAACAUCCUGGUUUCUGUAUCUUGAGUAUUGUGACUAAUGACGAAAUGAAAAUGGGACAGCAGAUGUCAUGGUUUCAUCUCCUUUGAGUGUAUGUCCACAGGUGGGAUUGCUAGACCAUGUAGUCAUUCUAUUUUUACUUUUUUUUUUUUGCAGAACCUGAUGACUGCACCAAUCUACAUUUCUACCAAUGGUGAACUAAAGGACUUUCUCUCAUGGUGGUCUGAAUAGGGUGAAGAGAUGAGGACAGACAGACAUAUUUGGGAGAAAUUUAUGAAAUAAAAUCUAUAGGACUUUAUGAUGAAUCGGAAAUGAAGGUAUGAGAGAGAGGGAAGUUUAGAGACUUCCAAGUUUGAUCUUGAAUUACAUAUUCAAAAAUGGAUGGAUGUGUUACACAUUGAACUUGGGAACCCCUGAAAAUAACAGGGAGUCCUGGGAAGACCAUGGCCAUUGAAUCUGGACUGACUGUAUUUUAGAUGUUUAAGCGAUAAUAUUAAAGAAAUGAGUUGCCAGGUGCAGUGGUGCACACCUGUAAUCCCAGUGGCUUGGGAGGCUGAGGCAGGAAGAUCACGAGUUCAAAACCAUCCUCGGCAAUUUAAUGAGACCCUGUCAAAAAAAAAAAAAAAAAAGGACUGGGAACGUGGCUCAAUGGUCAAAUGCCACUGGGUUUAAUCCCCAGUACCAGUAAAUAAAUAAAAUAAAAAGUCUGCAGAUAUGUGGUGUUGGACCAGUAUUAGUGAAAAAGUGUAUGCAUCUGAAGGCAAUUGAAACAGUGGCUGCAGAGGCAGAAAAUGGCAAUCUAGGGACUGAAAUCUUCUUUAGUGAAGGAUGAUUAGUGAUUAAGUUUGUAGAGGACUGGGUUUCUGGUCUGCCAGCCUAACCACAAAUUUCCCUCUCACCAGCCUCCAUGAUUGCAUGAGCCAUUCAGCCAUUGCUUAAAGUAAAUGUGUGUGUGUGUGUGUGUGCUCCUCAUUGACACUUUCAGCUCUUUACUCAUUCAUCCUUUCCCAAGCCACAAAAAGCCCUCUGUUGCCUUCUCAGUCAUUCUGACCCUCACUGGAGAAGCUUCUUUGAGGGGAGUGUGUAGCCUAGCUGAGGACUAGGCUUGGAGGAAUGCAGGGUUUAGUCCUUGGUGUCUUUUUGUGUUUACCUUUUGGCUGAUUGGACGAGGCCCACUCACGCUAUUGAGGGUCAUCUCUUUAUAGAAAAUCAAAUGCUUAUAGAUGUUUAUUCCAUCUACAAGAUAACUAACUACACAGAAGCAGUUAGCUCAGGGUUUCAGCCACUGGGUACAAUAGCCCAGCCAAGUUGACAAAUAAAACUAACAACAGACGGUGGGGACAAUUGGGAAGGUGGAGUCCUGGAACCUGGGAUUUCAGUGAAGACCAGAGAGAAAAAGGAACACCUUGAUAAAUGUGAAGAUCCAGGGGAAAGUGCUGGGGAGUGAUAUUAGCCAAAUUAUAUUGUUAUAUUUUGUGCAUAUAUGAAUAUAUUAACAAAUCCC
rnacentral:lncRNA from 1 species